rnacentral:lncRNA from 1 species
AGUAACUAAUUAAACCCAUAACUGAUUGGGAAGGAGAGAGAGAGAGAGAGAGAGAGUCAACAGAGGGGAUAAAGACUAGACUACAUCUGAUCACGGAAAAGAAGUGAGAGAAAAUGAAGAAAUUAGAGGAAAGACACUACGAUUCUAUUUUUUACUCUGUCGGAUCUUAUCAGAUAGAUUCGAUCUGGAUCCUUUGUAUGUAUUUCUUAUUCAUUUAAGGGUUUUAGAUUCGAUGUUUGUUUGAUGGUCUGUUGUG